GUGUUGUUUGAAAAGAGAGAAGGUUAGCAGUCCUUUUGACAAGAAUGGAAGAGGUCCCUAUGGCCAUACAACAUAUACCGUAUACAGUUAAGGGAUUACUACUUACCCUGUGGCAUCUCUAACCACGUUUUUGU